rnacentral:rRNA from 2 species
AGGAAACGAGAAGUCGACGCGCCGACCCCUCGGGGUGAGGCGUCCGGCCCUCCGCGAGCGCCCGCGGGGCUUCGGGUUCCGGACCCGGUCCGAUCCCGUUCCCACCGCGGGGCUGUCCGCGAUCAUGGAGGUGUCCUCGGACGGCGUCGAAACGCUCGAAAUUUCUCCGGUCCGCGACGCUACGGCUUGGAUGGUCCACCCGACCCGUCUUGAAACACGGACCAAGGAGUCUAACAUGCGCGCGAGUCGUUGGGUCGGACACGCUCCGCUAAACCCAUAGGCGCAAUGAAAGUGAAGGCCGCCGCAGGGGCGGCCGAGGGAGGAUGGGGCCGAGACGGGGCUCGCUCCCCUCGGUCCCCGCACCCCUGGGGCGUCUGAUCCCUCAUCGCGAGGGGAGGCGCACCCAGAGCGCACACGUUGGGACCCGAAAGAUGGUGAACUAUGCCUGGCCAGGACGAAGUCAGGGGAAACCCUGAUGGAGGUCCGUAGCGAUUCUGACGUGCAAAUCGAUCGUCGGAGCUGGGUAUAGGGGCGAAAGACUAAUCGAACCAUCUAGUAGCUGGUUCCCUCCGAAGUUUCCCUCAGGAUAGCUUGCGCUCGGAGGAGUCUCAUCCGGUAAAGCGAAUGAUUAGAGGCCUUGGGGCCGAAACGGCUUCAACCUAUUCUCAAACUUUAAAUGGGUGAGAACUCCGGCUUGCUCGAACGAACGAAGCCGGAGACGGGGUGUCCAAACCCCUGGGAUCGGAGUGCAUAGUGGGCCACUUUUGGUAAGCAGAACUGGCGCUGUGGGAUGAACCAAACGACGGGUUAAGGCGCCCGAAUCGACGCUCAUGGGAAACCAUGAAAGGUGUUGGUUGCUUAAGACAGCAGGACGGUGGCCAUGGAAGUCGGAAUCCGCUAAGGAGUGUGUAAUAACUCACCUGCCGAAGCAACUAGCCCUGAAAAUGGAUGGCGCUGAAGCGUCGUGCCUACACCCGGCCGUCGCCGCAGGGCGGGCCCGGAGACGGGUGCUGCUUGACGCGGCGACGAGUAGGAGGGUCGCGGCGGCGCGCGCAGAAGGGUCUGGGCUCGAGCCUGCCUGGAGCCGCCGCCGGUGCAGAUCUUGGUGGUAGUAGCAAAUACUCCAGCGAGGCCCUGGAGGACUGAUGUGGAGAAGGGUUUCGUGUGAACAGCCGUUGCACACGAGUCAGUCGAUCCUAAGCCCUAGGAGAAAUCCGACGCCAACGGCGACGGGAAACAAAUCGCUUUCUGAGAGAAAAUCACCCGUUGAUCGGGCGAAAGGGAAUCCGGUUCCUAUUCCGGAACCCGGCAGCGGAACCGCUGUUUGUCGGGCCCUCACAAGGGGUUCGUCAGGGUAACCUAAAAGGGCCCGGAGACGCCGUCGGGAGCCCCGGAAAGAGUUUUCUUUUCUGCAUGAGCGUUCGAGUUCCCUG